UAGAUGAGGAUGAGGCAAUUUUAAAAUAAUCCAACACUUGAUCAGAGGCAUUUUCUGCCAAGUGAUGCUAUAGCUAAAUGCUUCUGAAUCUAA